rnacentral:ncRNA from 1 species
UAUCUUCAGGGCAGGGUGAGUGAGAGCAAUUCCCGACCGGUGGUAAUAGUCCACGAGAAUUUUUAUAAUUCUGAUUUGGUGAAAUUCCAAAACCGACAGUAAAGUCUGGAUGGAAGAAGAA